rnacentral:tRNA from 1 species
UGCGCCGUAGAGCAGCUGGUAGCUCGCCGGGCCCAUAACCCGGAGGACGCAGGUUCGAAUCCUGCCGGCGCCA